rnacentral:rRNA from 1 species
GGCGCACGCGCGCUACACUGACAGAGCCAGCGAGUACUCCCUUGGCCGGAAGGCCCGGGUAAUCUUGUUAAACUCUGUCGUGCUGGGGAUAGAGCAUUGCAAUUAUUGCUCUUCAACGAGGAAUCCCUAGUAAGCGCAAGUCAUCAGCUUGCGUUGAUUACGUCCCUGCCCUUUGUACACACCGCCCGUCGCUACUACCGAUUGAAUGGCUCAGUGAGGCUUUCGGACUGGCCCAGAGAGGUCGGCAACGACCACUCAGGGCCGGAAAGUUAUCCAAACUCGGUCAUUUAGAGGAAGUAAAAGUCGUAACAAGGUCUCCGUUGGUGAACCAGCGGAGGGAUCAUUAACGAGUUGCAAAACUCCCAAACCCUUGUGAACCUUACCUAUACCGUUUCUUCGGCGGGCGGCUUCAGCCCUAACCUGCCUCCCUCCGGGGAGGCGGACCCGCCGGAGGCUCCUAAACUCUUGAUUUUUGUUGGCCUCUCUGAGUAAACUUUUAAAUAAGUCAAAACUUUCAACAACGGAUCUCUUGGUUCUGGCAUCGAUGAAGAACGCAGCGAAAUGCGAUAAGUAAUGUGAAUUGCAGAAUUCAGUGAAUCAUCGAAUCUUUGAACGCACAUUGCGCCCGUCAGUAUUCUGGUGGGCAUGCCUGUUCGAGCGUCAUUUCAACCAUCAAGCCCCAGGCUUGUGUUGGGGCACUGCGGCUGCCGCAGGCCCCUAAAAGCAGUGGCGGACUCGCUGUCAUACCGAGCGCAGUAGCACAUCUCGCUCAGGGCGUGGCAGCGGGCACCGGCCGUAAAACAACUAAAACUUAAGGUUGACCUCGGAUCAGGUAGGAAUACCCGCUGAACUUAAGCAUAUCAAUAAGCGGAGGAAAAGAAACCAACAGGGAUUGCCCUAGUAACGGCGAGUGAAGCGGCAACAGCUCAAAUUUGAAAUCUGGCUUCGGCCCGAGUUGUAAUUUGCAGAGGAAGCUUCUGGCGCGGCGCUGUCCGAGUCCCCUGGAACGGGGCGCCAUAGAGGGUGAGAGCCCCGUAUGGAUGGAUGCCUAGCCUGUGUGAAGCUCCUUCGACGAGUCGAGUAGUUUGGGAAUGCUGCUCAAAAUGGGAGGUAAAUUCCUUCUAAAGCUAAAUAUUGGCCAGAGACCGAUAGCGCACAAGUAGAGUGAUCGAAAGAUGAAAAGCACUUUGAAAAGAGGGUUAAAUAGCACGUGAAAUUGUUGAAAGGGAAGCGCUUAUGACCAGACUUGCGCCAGGCUGAUCAUCCGGUGUUCUCACCGGUGCACUCUGCCUGGCUCAGGCCAGCAUCGGUUUUGGCGGGGGGAUAAAGGCCUAGGGAACGUAGCUCCUCCGGGAGUGUUAUAGCCCUGGGUGCAAUGCCCCCGCUGGGACCGAGGUUCGCGCAUCUGCAAGGAUGCUGGCGUAAUGGUCAUCAGCGACCCGUCUUGAAACACGGACCAAGGAGUCAAGGUUUUGCGCGAGUGUUUGGGUGUUAAACCCGCACGCGUAAUGAAAGUGAACGUAGGUGAGAGCUUCGGCGCAUCAUCGACCGAUCCUGAUGUAUUCGGAUGGAUUUGAGUAGGAGCGUUAAGCCUUGGACCCGAAAGAUGGUGAACUAUGCUUGGAUAGGGUGAAGCCAGAGGAAACUCUGGUGGAGGCUCGCAGCGGUUCUGACGUGCAAAUCGAUCGUCAAAUCUGAGCAUGGGGGCGAAAGACUAAUCGAACCA